UGUCGUAGCUGGAUUAGAGAUCGGCUAGCGAUGUAUUUUUAACUUAACUUUUAGGAGUUAUCAAAUGUCUCUAAGUACAGAAAAAAAAGCAGCGAUCGUUGCUGAAUUUGGUCGUGAUGCA
rfam:Pasteurella multocida subsp. multocida str. Pm70, complete genome.